AAGGAAGCUAUUGUACCAAAACCUGUAUAAAUAGGUUCAAUUUGUCAUCUGCAGAUGUGUUCAUUAAGGAUUCACUCAGUUCAUUCAUUAUUGCUCCAUUUCAGCUAUAGUAACUGAACAUAAUAUCUACUUGGUAAACUGUCUUACUAAACACUAUGCCUUCCUUUCACAAUUUUUUGACCUUAGACUCCACUUACAAUCUCUAGUUAUGACAAAGAACUAGUUUGCUGUAUUUGUACUGUAAGAUGGGGAAAAAAAUCCCUGCUGUAUUAGGUUAUGAUGA
rnacentral:lncRNA from 1 species